AUGGUUUCCUCAGAGAUGAGGCUUAAAGGAUUCCUAAGGUAAUUUUGGAAGAAGAUGCUAAUGCUAGAAGGUACAGAUGCAGAACAAGCAGGGCAUUCAUUCACUUUCUCUCUGUUCUAUGCACAGGAAUUCAAAAAUACCAAGGCAAAAUUACUGUCCCAAGAAAUUAACUGUUUCAUAGUUAAGAAAGGCAAAAAGAAGAAUGGAUAUAAGAUAGGAGAUGGAGGAUUUUCAGAAUAUGAUGACUGAAUCUAGAUGUAGGUGGUAAAGAAUGAUAAUCAGAUUGUUAUUUCUUAAACAAAGGGAAAACUAGUAGUAAAAUUGUAAGUGGAAAGAUCACAGGACUCUAUCCUUGCCAACUGUUUAGAUGACUAUGGAAAGCAGUUUCCCUCUGAAAUCUGGAUUUCAAGCCCCCUGAGAGAACUUUGUUCCAGGACUUAAAGGGUACUAAAAGAAAAAUUGAGUCUUGUCCUACCAGGUGAAAUGUCCCAGUGAACUAGCAAGAAAAUGAAAUCGAGGAAUCAGUGAUUGGAGUUAGAGGGAAAACAAGCCUAGAAGAUACUCUUUAACAUAUGUAAACCUGCUUAAGCUAAGUGAGUAACCAGACACUGUGUGUCUAUAAUUUAUCUCUUGUAUAUAAAUUGUAUCCCACAAUCCCUCCCUCUGAGAUAAAAAUAGUCAUGCACACAAACUGACAAGACCUGUUCUGUAUUUCAGUGAGCCCUGUGAAGGAGGGACACCUUCAAAGAAGAAAAAGUAUAAUGACUACCAGCGUAUGGGCCCUAACAACACAGAGACAAAUAUAAUCUUGUACAUUUUAGCACUCAAUAAAUGUCAUGGUAAUGGAAUAGGGAGGAGAGCUACAGAUGUUCAAUUUUUCCAAAGCAGAGAUAUUCAAGAGCUAUACUGUGAGAACUCAGCCAGAAUAAAAAGUAAUUGUUUGGGAACUUGUUGGGGAACAUUAAUCAGAGACAACUGAGGCACAAGUCUGUAAAGCUCCCUAGAAAACACAGAAAUUGAACUGGGAUUUGUUUGCACAAGAGAGCAGGUUUUGAGGAUAUCACAAAUUAUCUUUAGAAAGACUUAAAGCUUUAUGUUUCCCCUUUACCCUUCAACAAUUCUUGGAAAACUGUCUCCUUUCAGAGGUAGAGGUGUUAUUUAUUCCUGGAUUCUCAGUGGAAAAUAAAUGGUAUUAGUAGGCAUGGUGAAGAAAGAAGCAUAUGGCUUCAAGAUUACUUGAUUGCCACACUGUGAUGUCAGUGAUCUUGCCAUAGUUUUUUGGUUUUGAUAGCUAGGUUUAUCCCAUAGCUCCUCAAAUCCAUGCCUAGAUUGUGACCAUUCUUAACCAGGUCAUGUAGCUAGCACAUGGUAAAGAAUUAUUUUGUGUCAUCUAGAAUGUAAAAUUUGAACUAUUCUGUAGAGGUUUCCAGGAAACGUUUUAAGAUAAAUUUAAGAAAGAAGUCUCUAAGGAGUCUUAGAGUUUUAUGUAGUUGACAUGACCUGUCUAGUGAAAUAGUGGACUCCAUGUUAUCAGAGUUAUUCAUGAAGAAGCCGGAAUAUCUACUUACCAGGAAGUGACAGAAAUUUCUUGCAUUUAGUAAGAAGGUUGUUAGAGGACACCUAAGGCUUUGUCAAAUCUUGCUUCCUAAUUGUGGGGCUACAUGGUGGUGCUUAGAGUGGGAUAAGUGGAAAGAGGCCUAGUGCUUACUUAAAAGAGCUGUGGUAUAGACUGAUUGCUCACACCAACAAAAUAAACAAACCUACGCAAUGUUUAUAAAACUAUGUAGUUCAGAAUUCAAGGAAGUUGUCCAAAUUUCAAGACCCAGACAGUUAAGCUCAGGAGCUUAACUUACAAAGCCAAGAAAGAAUUUAAAAAUCACGUCAAAUCCAGAAACAGGAGGAAGAAAAAAAGCUGGUGUUAUCAUUUACAGACAAAUUCUAACAGAGGAGCAGGCCAUAAAAGCUUGGGAAAAAACAUUUUAAAGUGUCCAGCUGCCUCUGGUUUAUGUGAAGAAAGAAGAUGAAAAAUGAGAAGGCAGGAUCGGUAACCACUUUACCUACAAUGGUUAGAGAAGGCGAGAAUUGGAAUCUGAAUGCUAAGAAGAGGCAGCUAAGAGAAGAUCUGAAAAUCAAACAUUUCUAACAGAAGGCACAGAAAGGGUUCCCAGGAAUCUCAAGAAGUAUCAAAGAACUGAGACUUACCAGAUCACCACACCCAGAUAAUGAGUUGCCGACCCCUCAUUCAUCGUGACUGCUUCCUUGCCCCUUCCCAGUUCCUGCUUUCUUAUACAUUGUUACGUUUCUUCCCUGCUGUCUAAACUCUUACUUUUGGUGGGUCAGGAGAUGGAUUAGAGACUGAUCUCCCAUCUCCUGGGCUGCAGCACCCGAUUAAAGCCUUCUUCCUUGGCAA
rnacentral:lncRNA from 1 species